CCUACGGGAGGCAGCAGUGGGGAAUAUUGCGCAAUGGGCGAAAGCCUGACGCAGCGACGCCGCGUGAGGGAUGAAGGUCUUCGGAUCGUAAACCUCUGUCAGCAGGGAAGAACGGUCACUGUGCUAAUCAGCAGUGAAUUGACGGUACCUGCAAAGGAAGCACCGGCUAACUCCGUGCCAGCAGCCGCGGUAAUACGGAGGGUGCGAGCGUUAAUCGGAAUUACUGGGCGUAAAGCGCUCGUAGGCGGUAUGUCAAGUCAAGGGUGAAAUCCUCGGGCUCAACGUGGGAACUGCCUUUGAAACUGGCAAACUGGAGUGUGUGAGAGGAUAGUGGAAUUCCAGGUGUAGGGGUGAAAUGCGUAGAUAUCAGGAGGAACAUCAGUGGCGAAGGCGACUAUCUGGCACAUAACUGACGCUGAGGAGCGAAAGCGUGGGUAGCAAACAGGAUUAGAUACCCCAGUAGUC
rnacentral:rRNA from 1 species